UCGGGGAAGAGAUGUAGCCUCUUGGCGGGGGGUGUGAGGGUCGGGCUGCCCCCGACUUUCCUGGUUCGGGGCCGAUCAUGAAGAGGACGACUCCGGUGUUGAAUAAUUAAGCAGGAGUGGAUCCGUCACGAUGCUCCGCAGCCGCACGACCGCGCGCGCCGCCGCUGUCGGCUGCCUCUCGCCGAAAAUCCCGGAGGAAGAACCGCAAUCCUGGAUCUCCACAGUGAGCCAGCCCGGCAGGUGCCCGUGACCCGAAAACGAUCUACAGUCUUUGAGUGACAGGAAACGAGAAAGACGUCAUCCUCUUACAGCACAGGUUGUGCUGGUGUUGCUGACCAGAGUGCUGCAGGCAUGAGGGGUUGUCUGUUAUCUUUGGUUAUCUAGCUGUAUGAGUGACGUACAUUCUUCAUAAAGCUAGAUAACCGAAAGUAACAAGAAUCCCAUUACACGCCUGCUAGGCCAGAGAAACAGAGGAUGCAGCUUCACCACUGGAAGCUCUGAUCUCAAGCUCUUCUGGUCCAUCUCGAAUCGCCUCAGCUGGGCCUGGACACUGUCACCUGUCACUGAGCUCCUCACACCUCACGAUGGAGCACAGCAAGAGAGAAGAGCCGGACAGCUACUCCGCCUCAUGAUCAGUCUGCUCAGAGACAUGAGAACCACAAGAGACUUUCUGAACUGGGAACUGAUGUGUGUGCUCCAGUGUGAACGCUGCUCCCACUCAGUGCACUGCUGUUCAGCUGACAUCUGCAUGAGAUUUGUGGUUCGGACUAAUGCUGACAACACACACACACACACACACACACACACACACACACACACACACACACACACACACACACACACACACACACACACACCUUAGCUUUAGAUUAUGUAGGCAUAAAUAAAAUAGUUUGUAGACUACUUUCAUUAAAAUGUAGAUGAACUUUACUUUGUCAUUUGAUUUUGAUAAUUCUGAACAAUCUGUGUUGACAAUCCAAGUGACUUUUUUACUUGACAUACACCAGAUUUAUAUUUCAGAAUCACUUAAAGUGCCUUUUGACGCGGACAUUAAUGUUUGCCAUAUUUUUUUUUUCCCUAAAUUGGACUCAACUUUUCCUUAUUCAUUGAAAACGUAUUCAACAAUUAACAAAGUUGCCCUUCGCCCGGUCACUUCACCCAGAAGCACCUGGCAGAUCCAACCACCUAAACUGGGUCCAAUUCCUUUCUCUUCCAGUCUGCCUGCUGAUGGAACUGUUCACAGGUGUAAACAUGAAUCUUUACCCUGGAAAACAAGUGUUACAUUGGCUCCAUUUCAGCAGCUAGUAGUCUGGUUCCCACAUCAAGUUUGAGGACAAUUGUCGCUGCACUAGCUUGUUCUAUGCAACAUGUAAAAUAUAUAUGCACAAAGUUUGCACAUCAUGUAGCUGGUUUUAGUUGAGUGUGUGUUGUUGAGUGUUGGUGAGUGUUGUGUAACCCGGAGACCCUGUGCAAUGAAUUUGUGUUAUGAUAAUCGCCUGUGAUAAAGGUGCAAUUUCGGAUGAUACGUGUUUCAAUGAUGCGACUGUGCACUGUGGCGCCAGGAGCUUUGUUGCUCUGGUGCUCUGAUUUUGGACUAUGCAAGAUGAUGACAUCAAUAAAAGUUUUGUGUUUACAA